AAUAUAAUCCCUUACCAGAAUCCUGUCCCUGGGCUCCUUCUGGGCUGUUAGAACACAGCCUUACUCUAAGGCUCAGGCUGCAGGGAGAUGGGACUGAGCCCUCCAUAGUCACCAAGUGGGCCCAGCCCAGGUUUUGGCAGUCAAAGUCUCCGGUCCCAGGAGCCUCCUUAUUCCUAGCAAACUGGGAUGGUUGGUCAUCCCACAUCACCUCUGAGAAGACAGCAGUGAGGCCCCACUUUCACUCACUUAUGCAGUUGCUUAGUAUGCACAGUACUGAGUUGAACAUACUCCCUCCCUCCCUCUCUUCCUCCCUCCUUCUGUCUUCCCCUCCUUCUCUCCUUCCUUCCUUCUCUUAUUUUGUUUAUUUAGCUUAGAUUCUGCUCAUCCCCUCUCCCCCUUCAUUUGCUGACCAGCAGCACACACAUCUGCAACAGCAGAAACUGUGGCCAGCUAUUAAGGGAUGGGGUUGCUUGGGGAGCCUGCCAAAUUACCAGGCAGAGUCCGGUGUCUGGAAGGGGGUCCAGUCCAGCUCUAUUGCUUAUUGUCUUAGUCAGUUUGGGCUGCUUUAACAAAUACCAUAGAUUGACUGGCUUAAACAACAGACAUUUAUUUCCGACAGUUCUAGAGGCAGAGAAGUCCAAGAUCAAGACAAUGGCAGAUUUUGUUGGUGGUGAGGGCCCUGGUUUAGAGACUGCUGCUUUCUUUCUGUAUCCUCACAGGACAGAGAGAAUGAGCUCCGUUCCCUUUAUCCCCUUAUACGGGCACCACCUCAUCAUGGGUUCCCUAUUCUCAUGACCCCAUCCAAGUUCAAUUACCGACCAAAGGCUCCAUCUCCAAUACAAUCACAUUGGGGAUUACGACUUUGAUGAUGAAUUGGGGUGGGCGGCAAACAUUUAGUCUGUAGCACUUAUUAAUACAAAGGCUUUUGAAUAUUUUCACCAAGUCCAAACUCUCUCUGGAUGGCCCUGGGGAACUAGCAACUGGAUGCCCUUCGCUCCCUGAGGUGGCAGAGAGUAGAGAGGAGCUGCAGCUCCAAGCUUCCAGCCCUGGGUCCCAUUCCUUCCAAUGUGGGCUUAAGUGGCUGUGAAUUUUCUAGGCUUCCUGGCAAGUUGGACAGACUGUGCCUUACUGUCCGGGUGUCUGUGUGUGUUUAUUUAAGAGAAAGUGUGGAGGCCAGAGAGCAAGCAAAGGGCCAGAGUGCGGGAGAGAGCAGGCUUGUGUGUGCACAGGCAGGUGGGCAGGUCUGAUUGACAAGAUCAGAACAGAGCUCCUGGAUUCAAUCAGUCUCCCUCACCCUGGCAAACAAUUCUGAGAGGCAAUUAGGUGAGAGUGGAAGGGGGACUGGGGAGGGAAGCCAAGAAAGGGGUGCUUGGGGAGGGCUCCUAAGAGAUGGGGCCCAGGGCUCUGGCCAUAACCCUUUCCUGCUAUUCCUGAGAUCAGAGAUUAGGACAUGGAGGGGUGUCACAGUAUCACAUCUGGGAUCCACAAAGCCUCUGUGCUUCUGUCCUGGGAAGCUCUGACCCAGACCACAAGGUAUGGCCAGUGAAGUUCAGGUGGGGUGCCGUCCUCUCCUGGCACACAGUAUGUGCUUCUAACAUGGCUGACGUUCUGGCCCUUUAUGCAGGGGCUUUGGCUGUUUUUCCCGCCCCAUCCACCCUGAUGGGGACUUGGUGAGUCCUAGGGAGUGGGCAGCACAGUUGAGCAUCUCUCCCCUGCAGUCCUGCUCUGCAUUGCAGAUGGGAAUCAGGAAGGAGUUCCGGAAGGACAUUUCCAGGAUUGCAAGUGUUGCCUUUCAUUGGCUGUAUUCUCUGACCUCCUCCUGGAGUUCACAAGGUACAGGGGAGGAAGGGCUGCUGACCACCGUCCGCCAGAGACAGCACUCUGGGUAGCAGAGCCCUGGGCACUGGUUCUCUGCCAUCUGCAACCCUCAUUCUGGAUGUGAGCUGAGCAGCAGCUGCCUUCUGGAAGCUUCAAUUGUAGCCCACGCCUCACAGAGGGAAGCAGUGCAAGAGUGGGGAUGGCUCAGCGCUGGACAGUCCCCUUCAGGACUGAGGCAGCAAAGCAGUUCCAGGGACUCCCUGGGUCCACUGCCUGGGAAAUCAAUUGGGUCACCCUUGGUUUUGAAGAGGCGUGAGCCUGUCAUGAGUAUCCCAGACGCAAGCACCCUACCCUUGUCUUAUUUAUUUGUUUUACUUUCCCCAUGAAAAUGUAAGCUUCCUGAGAGCAAGAACUUCUUUAAAAACAAACAAACAAACAAAAAACACUCUGUCUCCCUAGCACUUAGAAAAGUGCUGGGCACAAAGCAGAUUUCAAUAAAAUCAUUCACCAAAUGAAGGCAUGAAUAGGGAAGCAUUAUUAUUCUAUUCCAGCCUCAUUUUACAGAUGAUGAAACUGAGAUAAAGACGGGUUCAUGAACUCACCCUAAGGAUCCCUCCUAGCCUUAGGCUUUUGGGGAAGAUGUGCUUACCAACAACCCUUACUCCCUGGAAGUUCUUCUGCUAGUCUGACUCGCUUCCUUCCUAAUACAAGCAUGGCUCAUUUCCACCAGUGAAGUUCAGCUGAGAAACACAUUCAUCUGGAGUCCCUUGAAGUGAAGUGAACGUUUCCAGGUGAGGCUGCCAUCUUGGAGGGAGGUUCCUCACCCCUUACUGGAAAGUCGCUGGUAGUAAUAAGAACUGCCUCCACUAUACAUCUGUCUUUUUCUGCAUGGAAGGGGAGGGCGCCUUUAAAUUACUUUAGCUAUAGAUCUCACAAUUACUUUCCCUCUCUCUAAUUUGGAUGUUAAUGUAUUAGCUGCAGCUUUGCCUUCUAGGCUAGAAAUUGUUUUUCCCCCGCCCUGAAAUUAUACAUCCAGAUAGAGUAGUGUUCAUUAAAGUAAGAUUAGGAGAGGAUAAUAUGUGAGAGGUAUGUAAUCUUUUGCAAAUGGUUAGUAAAUUGGAACUACCCCAAUUACAAUCUUGUUCAUCACACAGGGCUGAAUUACUCUGCCUGGGACGGGAGUCUCAGCCACAGCUCUGCUCAGCUCACAUUUCAUAAAUAUUGUAUACACAUGAUAUUCUCAGCCAUCUGCUUCGCAGGUCGCUGGGCACGUUUUCUGACUUUCUGGUUGACUGCAGAGAGUGACAGGGCAGGGCGGCCAUCCUGUGUGUUUACCUCAAAGCCCAGUGAGGCUGGCCUUCCCCUGGGGCUCUCCUGAUAGCAUAUGCCUCAGGCUCGAUGCCAUGGACACACACCAGGCUCGAGGGCAUCCUCUUUGCCCCCACUAAGGCCUUGCCACGGCCCCCAGGGUCUUCCCAAGCAGCGACCUGGGAGGUGUGCCUUGGGCUGUCCCUGAAGGGUCCAUCUCUAGAAGGAACUUGGAGGCGGAUAAAGGUGAUUUAGAGAACCUGCCUCACUUCCUGGCUCAGGGUGGCUGGGAACUGGGCAGUGCCCUGGGUUGGCUGUGAGGUCCAGCUUCUGCCUCUCAUGGGCAGAUGGUCUGAGAGCAUGGAGGGUGCGCCCUGCUUCUUACAGGUGUUCUGCUCAGCAUCAGUGGCUGGGUCCAUCUCUUCCUCCUACUCCUUGGAUCUGACCAGAGCAGCUCCCUCUAAACACUUUGUUUCCCUAAAAGCUCAUUUCUUUCCAAGAGAGAAUGAAAGAUGUGACUAAGAGCGAGGACCUUGGACUCAAAGUAUCUGGGUUUAAAUCUCUCCCUGCUAUUUUUUUUUUUUUUUUUUUUGAGAUGGAGUCUCGCUCUGUCACCCAGGCUGGAGUGCAGUGGCACGAUCUCGGCUCACUGCAAGCUCCGCCCCCCGGGUUCAUGCCAUUCUCCUGCCUCAGCUUCCCAUGUAGCUGGAACUACAGGCGCUCGCAACCAAGCCCAGCUAAUUUUUUAUAUUUUUAGUAGAGACGGGGUUUCACCAUGUUAGCCAGGAUGGUCUCAAUCUCCUGACCUCGUGAUCCGUCUGCCUCGGCCUCCAAAGUGCUGGGAUUACAGGCGUGAGCCCUGCCCUACUAUGUACCAGUUGUGUGGUCCUGAACAAAUAGCUUAGCCACUUUGUGCUUGGGUUUCCCCAUCUGUAAAAUGGGUAAUAAUUGUAUCUAUCCCAUAGGGUUGUGCUGAGUUAAUACUUAGAACUGCAACUGUCAUACUGUAAAUGCUCAGUAAAGGUUUGUCAUUAUUUCGUUGCAAAGAUAUCUUGGCUUUCUUCCUGCUGAUUGCAGCAUCUCCAGAAGACAGCAUGCCAGAGAACGUGUGCUAGAUGCGAGCUCUAAGCAGGAGGGAACCAGACAAAGACAAAGGGCUGGAUCAUUUUAAGUGUUAACAGUGUGCUCAGCACCAUGUUUAAUGGAGGUUACUUUAUCCCAUUCUCACAGUUUUUUGAAGCGUAUAUAUUAUUAUGCCCACUGUACAGAUGAGGAAGGUAAGGCUCAAAGCUUUUUGAAAAACAGACUUCCUGCUUCUGCCUUGUUUGAAAUUUCCAGUUUGCCAUUUGUUUUAGGAUAAAAUCCCAAAUCCUUAACCUGGCCCAUAAAAUCCUCCAUAAUCUGAUUCUAGCCCACCUUCUUGUUCACCCCUGCUCACUCUCGGCACUCCUAUCUUAUCGGCCUGUUCGUCAACAUCCUACACCCUUCCACUUCCAGGCCUUCGCAGAGGCUCUUUCUUCUCCUUGAACCUGACUUCUCCUUCCCUUUUUACCUAAACAAUUCGUAUUCAUCCCUCAGGUCUCAACACUUCUCCAGAGAAGUCUUCCUUGAACUGACAACCUCCAACACCCCCAUCCCCACCUCCUAGAUAAGGCUCCACUCACAUAUGACUUCACAGUAACCCAUGGCUUCUUCAUAGCACCUCUUACAACUGUAAUGAAGUGCUCAACUGUGUGUGUUGUUUGUCUUACUAGAAUGCAAGCCCCAUCAGGACAGGGUCUGUGUUAGUCAGGAGAGACUGGACUCUGUGGUGGAAACAUAAAUCCCAAAUCUUAUGUUUCUCCCUCAUGUAACGUGUCCUGUGGGGUUGAGCAAAGGCUUCUGCUCCACCUUGUCACUCAGAGAUCCAGGACAGGGGAGGAUUCAGUACCUUGUGUCUGCACCGUGUGGAACAUUGACAUUUUCAGUGGCUGCAGCAAGGCAAGGGAAACAUUGGGGAAUCAUGUGGGCAUAGGUAAAAUGCAGGUGCAGCACAGAAAGGAGGCACGCACUCUGCCCAACUGCAAGGGGGCUGAGACCUACAGAGGAGCAGGUGGAUUAUUUGAUCCGCCAUAGGGUCUUAACCAACGUGUUCCCUUGUGUGUUCUCCAUGUCUAGCACAUUGCUUGGCACAUAGUAGGAGCCCCAGAAUAUCAGCUGAAUGAAUGAGCGUGCCAACAUAAGUCUAUCCAGAUCGCGUAGCCAGCACAUGGUGAUGGAGGUGGGCUUUGGACCACGAUCCUCCUAUUUGCAAAAUCUUUGGCCUUUGCACUCUACCUUGUAGUCACUCCUGAUUUAUGGAAUGCCUUUUUUCCUCCCCAUGUAGAGAACAGAAUAUCAUGCAUUUAGCCACUUAAUAGAUUUGUUUUUCCUGAUGAAGGUGAUGAAAGUUGCAUGUCCUCCAAUCAGCCUUGCAAUCAGCCAUUCAUCCACUCACCCAAGACAAGUGGCAAUUCAAAAGCAGCUAACAUUUCUUAAGUGCCUACUGUGUGCCAAGUGUGUGAUUCCAGCUAAGGCACACAAAAGCUUGGUGAGGAAAAAGGCAAAAAUUGGAUGAUCCCAGGAUGGUGAGGACAUCAUAAAGCAACAAUGGAAUUAGUCAUCAAUUAUUACAGCUUUUUAAUUUUCAACUCAAGAGAGGGCAACCCAUACUUUCCUUAGGGUUUUAAAACAGCAGUAUUUUUGCUCUUUACCGCGCCUUGGAUCUGAGAUGUCAAAGUACUUUACAAACAAAUACCUCCAAACACUUUGGGAUUGAGGCUUUUUACAGAUGGAGAGCAGGGCCCAGGGAAGAAGCGAUUUGCCCAAGGUCACGGCUGAAUCAGAGGCACAGCUGGAAACACUACUCAUGAAUACUGGCUCCUGGAGUCGGAGCUCAUCAACACCAGCCUGCCACCUCCCACACACACCAAAACAAAACCCCAAAGCCGGAAAACAGCAGCAGGAAGAAAAGUCACCUGCCCUCCACAGCCCAGGGUGUCCACACUGACAAUUUGCUGUACACAUUGGAAGCUGGGUGUGCAGGUCAGAUAUCUCUACAGAUUGCCAUUGCUGGACCCAGGAGAAUCAGUCAUUAAUGAAAGCUGAAAGUGCACUCUGCAUAUUUGGGCAGAUCAGCUUUCCAUCCUGAACCCCCAGGUGUAUAUGUCAGAAUUCUGGGCUUCCAGGAGGCGUUGAUGGUUCAUGCGACAGUUUGCUCUGCCUACGUGGCAGGUCUGGUUCUUUUCUGUGGUGGCUCCCUCCAGAACUUGCUCUACGUGCUCAGAGUUGCAGUGCAAGAUUCAGAGAAGACACAGUUAACAAGAGAGGGAGAGAAAGAGGAAAAGAAAAGAAGGAAGACAGAGGAGAGACUGCUUUGAAACCUGUGCAGGCCCUAGAACCUCUUUUUGUGAAGCCUCCAUUCCACACUAUGUCACAUACAUUACAGUCCCACGUUGAAUACAGUUUCUGAUUAUUUACCAGUUACGUUAGGUUGCAGUUUGCUGAUGACAACGUUAUGGUUUUGUAGAUAUUUAAUUAAACAUUUAAUACAUUUGAUUUUACAGUUUUCUUGCCUUCCCUGGAUUUUAGAG
rnacentral:lncRNA from 10 species